CACGUAGGGGGCAAGCGUUGUCCGGACUUAUAGGGCGUAAAGAGCUCGUAGGCGGCUCGGUAAGUCGGGUGUGAAAUUCCAGGGCUCAACCCUGGAACGCCACUCGAUACUGCUGUGGCUAGAGUCCGGUAGGGGAGCGUGGAAUUACUAGUGUAGCGGUGAAAUGCGCAGAUAUUAGGAGGAACACCAGCGGCGAAGGCGGCGCUCUGGGCCGGAACUGACGCUGAGGAGCGAAAGCAUGGGGAGCUAACAGG
rnacentral:rRNA from 1 species